AUGGUUGUCGUCAGCUCGUGUCGUGAGAUGUUGGUUAAGUCCCGCAACGAGCGCAACCCCUAUUGUUAGUUGCCAUCAUUCAGUUGGGCACUCUAGCGAGACUGCCGGUAAUAAACCGGAGGAAGGUGGGGAUGACGUCAAAUCAUCAUGCCCCUUAUGACCUGGGCUACACACGUGCUACAAUGGUUGGUACAACGAGUUGCGAGUCGGUGACGGCGAGCUAAUCUCUUAAAGCCAAUCUCAGUUCGGAUUGUAGGCUGCAACUCGCCUACAUGAAGUCGGAAUCGCUAGUAAUCGCGGAUCGGCACGCCGCGGUGAAUACGUUCCCGGGCCUU
rnacentral:rRNA from 1 species